rnacentral:rRNA from 1 species
UACGUAUGGUGCAAGCGUUAUCCGGAUUUACUGGGUGUAAAGGGAGCGCAGGCGGCACGGCAAGCCUGAUGUGAAAGCCCGCGGCCCAACCGCGGGACUGCAUUGGGAACUACCGGGCUGGAGUGCCGGAGAGGUAGGCGGAAUUCCUAGUGUAGCGGUGAAAUGCGUAGAUAUUAGGAGGAACACCAGUGGCGAAGGCGGCCUACUGGAUGGUGACUGACGCUGAGGCUCGAAAGCGUGGGGAGCAAACAGG